rnacentral:rRNA from 1 species
GAUGAACGCCGACAGAAUGCUUAACACAUGCAAGUCGAUUCAAUUUACCUUCGGGUAUUGAGGAUGGCGGACGGGUGAGUAACGCGUAAGGAACUUGCCUCUUGGUCUGGGACAACUGUUGGAAACGACAGCUAAUACCGGAUAUUAUGAGAUUCUCGCAUGGGAAACUUAUGAAAGCUAUAUGCGCCAAGAGAGAGCCUUGCGUUCCAUUAGCUAGUUGGUGGGGUAACGGCCCACCAAGGCGACGAUGGAUAGCCGGCCUGAGAGGGUGAACGGCCACAAGGGGACUGAGACACGGCCCUUACUCCUACGGGAGGCAGCAGUGGGGAAUAUUGGACAAUGGGCCACAAGCCUGAUCCAGCAAUUCUGUGUGCACGAUGAAGGUCUUCGGAUUGUAAAGUGCUUUCAGUUGGGAAGAAGAAAGUGACGGUACCAACAGAAGAAGCGACGGCUAAAUACGUGCCAGCAGCCGCGGUAAUACGUAUGUCGCAAGCGUUAUCCGGAUUUAUUGNGCGUAAAGCGCGUCUAGGCGGAAAAAUAAGUCUGAUGUUAAAAUGCGGGGCUCAACUCCGUAUUGCGUUGGAAACUGUUUUUCUAGAGUACUGGAGAGGUGGGCGGAACUACAAGUGUAGAGGUGAAAUUCGUAGAUAUUUGUAGGAAUGCCGAUGGAGAANUCAGCUCACUGG